UAGGGAAUCUUCCACAAUGGACGCAAGUCUGAUGGAGCAACGCCGCGUGAGUGAAGAAGGGUUUCGGCUCGUAAAGCUCUGUUGGUAGUGAAGAGAGAUAGAGGUAGUAACUGGCCUCUAUUUGACGGUAAUCAACCAGAAAGUCACGGCUAACUACGUG
rnacentral:rRNA from 1 species